UACGAAGGGGGCUAGCGUUGCUCGGAAUUACUGGGCGUAAAGGGCGCGUAGGCGGCACUGUUAGUCAGGCGUGAAAGUCCUGGGCUCAACCUGGGAACUGCGCUUGAUACGGCAGAGCUAGAGGAUGGAAGAGGCUCGCGGAAUUCCCAGUGUAGAGGUGAAAUACGUAGAGAUUGGGAAGAACACCAGUGGCGAAGGCGGCUAUCUGGACGGUUACUGACGCUAAGACGCGAAAGCGUGGGGAGCAAACAGG
rnacentral:rRNA from 1 species